GACGAACCGUGCGAACGUUGUUCGGAUUCACUGGGCUUAAAGGGCGCGUAGGCGGGCUGACAAGUCUGGGGUGAAAUCCCGCGGCUCAACCGUGGAACUGCCUUAGAUACUGUCGGCCUCGAGGAAGGUAGGGGCAUGCGGAACUGUAGGUGGAGCGGUGAAAUGCGUUGAUAUCUACAGGAACUCCGGUGGCGAAAGCGGCGUGCUGGACCUUUUCUGACGCUGAGGCGCGAAAGCUAGGGGAGCAAACGGG
rnacentral:rRNA from 1 species